rnacentral:ncRNA from 2 species
ACAAUAAUUAAACAUGACACUUAUAUAAUAAUUGUGAUAUGGACAAUGAGUUUCUACCCGGUUGCCGUAAAUAACCGGACUAUGAGUGAUAUGCAUGAAUCA